ACGAGUUAGGGUCCUCUAGGCCCGACCUCCCAACCCUUUGCUUACCGAACCUCUGUUGCUUCGGCGGGCCCGUCUCACGACCGCCAGAGGACCGCCGGAGGACCGCCGCAGGGCGUGUCCUCUAGCCCGUGUCCGCCGAUAGCCAACUACAAAACUCUGUAUAAAUCAUGUCUCAUGUCUAAGUCAAAUUGAAUUAAAAGCA
rnacentral:misc_RNA from 1 species